UUGAGAUACUCCGGUGUGUAAUUUUUUUUAAAGUACAUGUUUCAUCUGUUAAAGAACAAAUACUCAGGAUGAAUUUUUUUUGUUUUAGUUAGGACUUGUUGUCAAAUGUUGUUUCUUUCUCCGUUUACAACGUAGCAGUGAGCUGCAUGCUUCUAUAAAAUGUAAGCGUCCACAUUUGCCUCCCAUCCAGGCCCUCCUACUGUCGAUAACAGAAUUUACCGCGCCUCCCCCACCAAAAUCAAUUUCUACACUCUGCGCAGUAUUGAGCCGGGUUCUGCUGGAGGUGUCUUCCAGUUUAAGGAGAGUUUUUCCAUUCCACUGUCACCACUUGCAUGACGGACCACUUUAAAGUCAACAACUCAAUGCAAGCGGUUUCCUGCUGUUGCUACGUGCUCAUCCAGGAGGAGUGAAUGAUGAAAAUCAAUAACUCGAUACCAUCUGCCAAAUUAACCUUGCUGUAUUGUUUAACUAGAAUCAAUUGAAAUGUAUCUGUGAUAGAAUUGAAAUGAUUGAUGUGCUUUUUGUGUUGCAGAUGCUGCCAUAUCACAGUGCAAUUGGAGCUAUCUGAACAUUGCACUGAUCAGAUGGAAAUAACGAAAUGAGUUGGUCCUUUCUGAUCAAAUAAAAACAUAAAUUUCUUCUUUUUGUAAGCAGAACGAGCAAUGUAAAACAGGCAACUAGCAAUAUACUGCUAAAAUCGGAGUCUGUAGCAUAUUUUAUGUCACAUGGCUGCAGGUGGGAUGGGAACUCGGGUGCCAACGCUGCAGCUUGAGAGAAUAAGGUGAUGCCUGUGCCUGGCUGGUUUUGUCUCUCCAAAGACAAAAACUAAAGCUGUUUGAGAAUAUUUCUAAUUGUUUCACACCAAAGAAAAAAACUGCUGCGCUCUUCAAAUUGAAGAUGCUGCAUCCAUCCAUCGACUUACCCAAUGCUGGAGCCCUUCAUCAUGUUGCUGAUGGAUCCGCUACCAACAUCAAUAAUCUAUCUACAAAUCAAUGUCACAGACGUUUGCCAUAUAGAAUAUUUUUUUAAUGUUUUCUCAUGUUGAAAAACCUAAGGUUUGUGCUAACCAUAAUAUGUACACAACCCACAA